rnacentral:rRNA from 1 species
UGUAUUUAUUAGAUUAAAAACCAAUGCCCUUCGGGGCUCCUUGGUGAUUCAUAAUAACUUAACGAAUCGCAUGGCCUUGUGCCGGCGAUGGUUCAUUCAAAUUUCUGCCCUAUCAACUUUCGAUGGUAGUAUAUGGGACUACCAUGGUUUCAACGGGUAACGGGGAAUUAGGGUUCUAUUCCGGAGAGGGAGCCUGAGAAACGGCUACCACAUCCAAGGAAGGCAGCAGGCGCGCAAAUUACCCAAUCCCGACACGGGGAGGUAGUGACAAUAAAUACUGAUACAGGGCUCUUUUGGGUCUUGUAAUUGGAAUGAGUACAAUUUAAAUCCCUUAACGAGGAACAAUUGGAGGGCAAGUCUGGUGCCAGCAGCCGCGGUAAUACCAGCUCCAAUAGCGUAUAUUAAAGUUGUUGCAGUUAAAAAGCUCGUAGUUGAACCUUGGGCCUGGCUGGCCGGUCCGCCUCACCGCGUGCACUGGUCCGGCCGGGUCUUUCCUCCUGGGGAGCCGCAUGCCCUUCACUGGGGUGUGUCGGGGAACCAGG